rnacentral:lncRNA from 1 species
CGUCAGCGACCCAGAGGCCGGCCCCGCACUCUGCUGGUGUGGAGUAAGUGGACACGUAUUCCUUCGGAUACGUUUUCCUUUUAGGAAAGCGCAUUUUCAUCUUCUUCGGCUUAAAAUGUGUUUCCUCAGUUCUGAAAGCGCAUUCGCUGAAAUACGUUUUCUGUUUUGUCCUCCGGGGGCCUGUAUGUAGAAAUGUUUUUACAGAUUGGUCCCUGAACUUCGUCGGGCUAUAACUUUUUGCUCGCAACUCCAAAUGAGGUGAUUCCAAAGCCCACUUCCUCAUUUCGUCGAGCCCGUUCCAAUGGAAUCAUUUUUACCAUGUUUUGAAAUUCUGAAAAUGACCACUUUGCCCCUGCCCUUAACCAGCCCCUCCGGGAGAGAAUGUUUUCUAGCGGUUCUUUCCGCGAGCUUCUCGCACUUCUUCUCGGUGAUUUCUUCCACCCCAGGCAAGCCACACCCUCCAUUUGCAUGAUUGCAAUGAAGUAACAUGGUUUAAAUUAUUUGAACUUGUUUAAAAUAUUUCAUCAGCUAUGUAUGAUUUGUUCAUGGCAUUUCUCGGAGUAUGGUUUUGAUCUUGAUAUUGCCAUGAUAUUGCUUGGAGUUAUAGGACUUAUAUUUUGAUGAUUAUGUGAACGACAUGUGCCUUUGGAUUCUUAGUGGCUACUAUGAUUAUUGUCAUGAUGGUAUCCGGUAUUAUUUUGGAGUAUUACUUUGGAUAUCAUGUUGCCUUUGGAUUCUUAGUGGCUAUUAUGAUUAUUUCAUGAUGGUAUCCGGUAUUAUUUUGGAGUAUUACUUUGGAUAUCAUGUUGCCUUUGGAUUAUUAGUUGCUAGUGUUAGUUUCAUCAUGAUGCUAGAUGAUAUUAUGUUUUGGAGUAUGAUGUUGGAGAUGAUGCUUGCUAUGGAUCAUAGUUGGAUAGUUAGUUCUUGACAUUUGAGUAGUGGCCUUAUCAUUCUUGGAUUCGUCAUAGUAGCGUUAUGCUGUCCUCUGAGUAUUUUGGAGAGAAGAUAUUCAGCUUUGGAUUAAUUGUUGGAUAUUGCUAUGACUUGGAUUAUAGGUAGAUAGAUGAUAUCGGAGUGUCAGACAUUAAUGUUAUAUUUUGGUGAUAAAUUCCGUCAUUAAGUUGGUCAGAUGCCACCGAACCGGGCUUUCUCCAGUGCAACCACAUUUGCCUUUAUGGGAAGGCCCUAAUGCGGUCUAUUGUCAUGCCUCUCGCCGGUGCCUCCAAUGAGGGAAGGUUAUGGGCAUGCGGUACCCUGGCUUGGUAAGUAGACAUAACCUUGUGUGCCCGUUGUUGUUGUUAUGUCCACGUGUCCCCGUGAGGGACAUUUUUGCCACGACGGUGGUCGUUGUGUCUUUGGUAGACACGGGGCCACCCAGGACUAGACCAGUGGGGAGUGAGUCGGAGUGGCCUGGAGGGUGUCAUGGCAGUAGAUCUGUUUUGUCGGAACGCCGUUGGUCCACCCGAAUGGGAGUGCGAGGCCAUGGGUUCCGUGGUGUGGGUACAGUGUGCUACCUCUGCAGAGUGUAUUUAAACUAUCGAUAGCCGCGUCCUCAGUCAUGGGCAUGGGUUCGUACUAGGUCACAUCGUUCGAUCAACACUCACAUGACGGAAUGACUUAUAGGUGAUCUAUAUGUUGAUAUGUUGAGCAGUACAGAUUGGCGGGAUGUUGAUGAUGUUGGAGACCAAGUGUUGGUCGUGGUAGUGAUCGCCGGAAAGAUCACCGUUUGAGACCAAGUGUUGGUCGUGGUAGUGAUCGCCAGAAAGAUCAUCGUUUGAGACCAAGUGUUGGUCAUGGUUAUGAUCGCUGGAAUGAUCAUUGUUUGGUUUUGAUCACGAGGUGAUCGAGAUGGUAUAUUGCUUGGCCAGUUAGCCAAGAGUGAUAUGGUUAUGGAGAUCCGAGAUAGUGAGUUAUUAGUAUUGUAUCAGUUUCAUACCAUGCUUAGUAGUUGCUUCAUCAUGGUAGUUGUUAAAUAAUUAACCUGUUAAAUGCUAUGUUAUUGUCUUGCCUUGAUGUUUAUGGUUGUCGUGAGCUUGCAAGUACAUUCAAUGUACUGACCUGGCGUGUCAUGCCAGAUUGCAGGUGAUGCCAUGAUUGCUUGAUUGCUUAUCGAUGGUUGCUGUGCGUGCGAGCUAGGUCGUGUCCCAGCCAGAGCCCCUGCGGAGUGGAGUUCACCACCUUCGUCGUUGUUCCGCUGCUAUAAGUAUUCCGCUGCUUCGAGUUAUUUUGCUGCUAGCAUAGAGAAAGUGUAGUAUCGCAGGCGUAGUGUCACCGUGCUGAUGUGCUUCUUUGUAACAUCAGACCCUUGUAUUAUUAUUCUUGUAAUAAGAGCUGAUUUGUUCUAUGUCAAGCAGUGUCGUAUUCCAGAGACUUCUCCUCGAUCUCUGGGCUGGAAUACGGGGCGUUCCGGUUUCUCUGAGCCGGGGUGCCACAGAUAUCGACUGAAAUCAUUCUGAACUGUAAUCCACUCGAC